rnacentral:rRNA from 1 species
CUAACUAGGUGCUAGAUGGGGCGGGUAGACGUAGUGGGCGGGCGUGGGCAGGAAUUGUGGGGCGUAAAGUUCUCGUGGGUGGUGUGUAGCGUCGGAGUUGAUAUGCCGGGGGUUAACGCGGGGGGUGCAGGCGAUACGGGCAUAACUUGAGUACUGUAGGGGAGACUGGAAUUCCUGGUGUAGCGGUGAAAUGCGCAGAUAUCAGGAGGAACGCCGGUGGCGAAGGCGGGGCUCUGGGCAGUAACUGACGCUGAGGAGCGAAAGCAUGGGUAGCGAACAGGAUUAGAUACCCUAGUAGUC